AUAGUUAAGCAUGGUUAUGAACAAAAACACAAAAGAAAUAUUCAAUUUCUCUAGGGUUCCUUGUUGGCCGAACCAUGAGGGCUGAAUAUCAAUGGGGGAUUGUUUUUAUUUCAAGGAAAAUGGCAUGGAAAAUGAUGAAGUAAGGUGAAACGGUUAUGUAGAAAAAAAUUCGAUGCUAGUACACCAAAUGACCAAAUUUUUUCUAUAAGGAAUUGUGAGGGUUCUAAUGCUGAAUUUGGCUUUAUUUAAAUGUAUGUGGUAAAUUAAGGUAUUAGAGGAGAAAUGAAUUAAUUUGGAGGUGAUUUGGACACAAUCGCCGAUUAAUCGGGUGAUCGAUCGAAUUUAAUCGAUACCGUGAUUAAGCGGUAAUCGGACAUAUUUUUGCAUUUACAUAUCAAGCAUUAGUAGUUUAAAUUAAUUUAUAUCAAUUUAGGGACAAUAUAGUAAAUUCCUCGACUUUGUUAUUUGUCAAGGUGGUGAGACGUCCGGAAAAGGCAAAGGAAUUACGCUUGAGGACUAUUAGUCAGAGUUCACCCGGAAUCUAGAUUUUCGACACCUGUGAGUGGACUGCCUAUUAAAAUUGUUUUGGGAAUAUGACUGUUUUGAACAAAGUGUUUGAAUGAUUUUAUAAAUUUUUUUUUAUGAAAAUGAAUGCCUUGGGAACAAGCUUUUGAGAAAAAGUUUAUGUUAUGAAAUGUGGUUAUUAUGGAUUUCUAUGUGGUUGUAUUAUGUUGAUAUACAUAUACACUUGAAUAUAAUGUUGUGUAAUUAUGUUGACUCGACUAUGUGCGAGUAGGGAGUGCGCAUAAGCCGAGGAUGACCAGGUUAUGUGCGAGUAGGGAGUGCGCAUAACCCGGUGAUGACCCAGCCAUGUGCGAGUAGGGAGUGCGCAUGAGCUGGUGAUGAUGAUGAUGAGCUGGUGAUGAUGAUGAUGGGUUGGUGAGAUGAUGAUGAUGGGUAUAUACAUAUAUAUAUAUAUAUACAUAUGUAAAUAUGUGUGAUAUAGCAAAUGGAUGGACAAUGAUUUAUGGAUGUGAUGUACAUGAAAGUUGACACAUUGUACUUUGAGAAUUUUCAUGAAUGUUAGGUUGAUUUUAUUAGUUUAGCAGGAUGGCUUUUUGUUGAGUGAGGAAAAAUGUUUCUCUUGUUGCUUUGUUUUCACUGCAUCGAAAUUCAUGCUCGCUGUAGCGAAAAACUCUGGGGUUUGGAGGGGUUUUAAAUAGGAAUGAACUAAAUUGCAUUGUUUUGAAACAAGUGCAUCAUGAUUUUAAAUUUUUCCUAAUUGUUGCUUGUUCCCUUCCUUGUUCACUCACUGGGUUUAUACUCACCAUUUUCAAAUUCAUGUUUUCAGAUCACGAGGUAGCCGAUAAUUAGGACGAGGUGUCCUUGUAGAUCUGUGUACAUCUUUUGGUAGGUGUCUCGGCAUUCGGUAGCUGUAUAUCCAUCCGAGUCACUCCGCUGGAGGUCGAGUAUUAUUUUGUUAUGUAUAGAUGAACUUAAUGUAAAUUUUAAAAGAGUAAUGCCAGUACGAGUUGGCAAUGUAUAUCACUAUUUUGACUCAAAGUCAUGAAAUAGGACUUAGUGAUAAUAAAUAGAAUCAUAAGUAAGAUAAAUAAUAGGCUUGCUUGGGUUUAGUGGAUUACGUCCAUUGGACCCAUGCGCCGGUCAUGACCCGAAAUUUGGGUUGUGACAACUUAAUGGUAGUCGGAAGCUAGCUAGGGAUGACUAGUGGAACUCGAUUUAGAAAAUAGCUUUGGAAUGGUAUUAAUGCUAAGUUGGGUUGAUUGUGAUGUUGUUGUGUAUGAUAGGUUCCAACGAAACCCCACACCUCCAUUUAGAACAUUAGUCAAUGUUAGAGCCCACCAAAACAUCAAUAAAGACUGGUGAGUGAACUUGCAUUAAAAUGUUUUGGGAUAUACAUAUAUAUGUUUGACUGAAUCCCCCUAAAAUGUUUUAUUGGUUUUUCUUCAAAACUCGUAUGGGAACAAGCCUUUAUGAAAUGUUUUUAUGUUAUGAAAUGGAUAGUGUGAUGACGGUGGUGAGGGUGAUGGAUGGUGAUACUAUUCGGCUAUGUGCACAAAGUGAAGGGAUGCACAUGAGCUGGGUGAGUUGGGAUGUCCAGCUAUGUGCACUAUGUGGUGGGAUGCACAUGAGCUGGGUGAGAUGGGAUGUCUGGCUAUGUGCACGAUGUGGUGGGAUGCACAUGAGCUGGGUGAGUUGGGAUGUCUAGCUAUGUGCACGAUGUGGUGGGAUGCACAUGACCUGGGUGAGAUGGGAUGCCCGGCUAUCUGCACGAUGUGGUGGGAUGCACAUGACCUGGGUGAGUUAGGAUGUCCGGCUAUGUGCACCAUGUGGUGGGAUGCACAUGAGCUAGGUGAGAUGGGAUGUUCUGCUAUGUGCAUGAUGUGGUGGGAUGCACAUAAGCUGGUUGAGAUGCACAUGAUGAAUCCUGAAAAUUUGCCAUUUAUUUGCAAAUUGAUUUUUAUUGCAACAAGAAACAUUCUGUUUAUACUGCCUUACUUGGAUAACUGCUAAAAAUUUCCCUUCUUUCCAAUUUCAUGUUGAAUACGAUUCCUUCAUCAUUAAUGAUUUUACAACCAAGGGUUUUGUCAAGCCCAGUCCUAAAUUAUCUACCAUGUUUCACAUGAGACUGAUAGAGUGAUUGUAUAUUUGAACAGUCCCGGAAGAAUAUUUAAAAGUCGAUAUUGUGCUUAGAAGUACAAGUAAGUCGAUUUAUACCUCGAACUAAUUAAAAUAGGGAUUUUAAGGUGAAAUUAAGAGUUUCACAGUCCAAGGAUGACUCAAAAUGGUAAUUCGGAGUUCGAGGAUCAAUUUGGAAUCAAAUUGAAAUUUUCACUAUCUAGGGGCAAAAUGGUCAUUUGCCACUUCAGGACAAAAUGAGAAUUUUAGAAAAGAUUUUUUUAGCCCAAUUUGACUUAUUGGAGUAUGAUUUGAGUACUGGAGUAUAGGGGCAAAACGGUAAUUUUGCCAUACUGAGGGCAAAAUGGUAAUUUUGCACCACCAACACUUGUCAAAUUUGUGGAAUUUAAUUGUGGUGGGAAUGGAUAAAGAUGGAAUAAAGGUGUGGUGGAAAAUUAAAAUGAAAAGUCAAAAUUUAAAAAGAAAAACAGGCCAAUGGCAUGAUGCCAUGUGUCAUCCCUUUAUUAAUUUAUUAUUUUUCCUUUUUAAAAGGCACAAAAAACCAUCCCAUCUUCCACCCCAUGGUCGGCCAAACCAGCAAGAAAAGAGAGAAAACAAAAACCAAACCCUAGAGAGAGAAAAUCAAAGAAAAAGUGUGAAUUUUCAAGAAAAUUAAUUGAAAAAGGUAAGAUUUUUUCUAUUAAGCUUGAGUUUUUUAUUCCCAAGCAUUUCUCCUUAUUUUCCAUGAUUAAAUUGCGUGUUUUCAUGGUGAUUUCAUGGCUGGUCAUAUGGGUCUAGAGAGAAAAAAUUAUUGGAUUGAUUUGAUUUUGAUAUAUGUUAGUGUUUAGUGUUAGUUUAGCAUGUUAGUAAACAAAAUAUGUAGAAAAACAUUCAUUUUUCCAUUACCUAGCCUUAGCUAAAUUUUCAAGUCAAUGGUGAGAAAGAAUGUGAUGUUAUUUUAGGUUAUUUGAUUAUGAAAUCAUGGUUUUUGAUAUGGAAAUUAAUGAAUUAUGGAGAGAAAAUUAAGUAGGAAAAAUUGUGAUAAUGAUGCACCAUUUUGGCCCAUAUUUUUCCAAGAAGGAAUAUGAAUGUGGCUUUGCUGAUUUUUGGGUUAUUUGGCUGGACAUUGGUGAUUUGAAGUAUUAGAAAAAGAAAUGGGAUCAAUUGGAGGUAAAUUGGAUGCGUAUUUCAAUUUAUCGGGUAAAAUACCGAAAUAGGUCAAUACGGUGUUUAGGCAAAAUUUAGACCUUUUGCAUUUCAUACCAUGCAUUAGUGAUCUAAAUUAGUUAUUUCAAUUUAAGGGUAACGUAGUAAAUUCCUUGAUUUUUUACUGUGUCAAGAUGGUGUGCCCUUCGACAAAGGCAAGAAAAUUACACUUGGGGAUCACUAAGCUGAGUACACUUGAAAUCUGAUCUUUUGAAACCUGUGAGUAAACUUAUUAUCGUCUUAAUUAUCUAUAGUAGUUUUAUACAAUUAUGUGAUUUUAUAGAAAAUGGGUUUAAAUGGUAAAUUACUAUGUUUUAGGAGAAAUUAUGAUUUUAUAAAUUUUCUGGAAAAUUGAAUACUGGUUUUGAAAAUAGAGUAAUUGGAGACUAUCUGCUUGUGUUAUAAAUUGUGUUUUAAAUUAUAUGGCUUAUAACAAUAUAUGAGCAUGAAUGGCAAAGUUGGUAUUUGUAUCAAAAUUAUAUAUACUAUGUAUUCAGCCUUGAGAGGCUAGAUUACGAUAAAUUGCCAUGUCAUGCAGAUAAGGAUUUUAUAAAUCAGGUGGUAGAUAAAAUAAAGAUUAGCUACUGCAGUGGCGGGGUUUCGUGGACUAGCUUAUUAGAGGGGCACGGUAAACUCCUUUAUAUUCUCACCUCGAUCUUAGAGGCACGUAAGGUAUCUCCUAAGGUUGGCUUUUUUAGUGCACUUCACGUUAACCACCACGUGAAGUGAGACUUAGUCAACGCCAAGGAACGACUACUUCUUUUCAAAAUAAAAACAAGUUUUAUGAUUAUAUAAAAUUUUUCACAGCCUUGGCGGACUCGGUUGGAUACCCCUGGUCCAAGUGUCCCCGAAUACAAGAUUUGGCAUGAGCCAAGUUUUGAGAAAUUCACGAGCCAUAUUGAUUAUUUGGUUGAAAUGAAUAUUCGUGUUGUGAAAAAUUUGCUGAAAUGAAUUAUUUUUAAUUGUCUCCCUUUACUCGCCUUUACAUAGUUUAGAUGGUGUCUGUUUACUCACUGGGAUUAUGUAAUCAUAAUCUCACCCCUCUUCCUAUCCAUUUUUCAAGCUUAGGACAGUUUGUUGAUAGUUGAUUAAGACGAAAAUUAAUCUCGGAGUUGCAUCCUAGAAAGUAAGGGUUCGUAGCCCUACACCUUAUUGGUCAGUUGAGGGCCCACGUGUCACUGUAAAAGUAAUUUUAUACUUCAAUUAUCUAAUUUAAAGUAUGUAUGAACAUAUUUAUCUUUUACACCAUGUUUUUGGUGGGUUUUGGUAUUUUUGAAGAAAAAUGACGAAAAUGCCCCUAUGAGCCAGAAAAUAAUAUUCUAUUGUUUUGAUUUGAAAAUGACUUAUGAUUUCUUCAAAUGUGAGAUUUAAUAACUGUCGCUCACCGGGGAGAUGCGGAAGCUAAUGCUAAGCCUUGCGGGGUUUCGAUCGGCAUUCGAGGUAAUGAGUGCCUAUCGAGACGUCGUGGCGGUUGUCACGAGCUUGAUGGGAGUUUCGGAUCGUGACAGGUUUAAUGGAGGGAUUUUAAUAAGAACUUGAACUAAAUGGCAUUGUUUUUAAAUAAGUGCAUCAUGUUUUCUAAACCAUUCCUUGUCAUUGCUUGUUCCCUUCCUAUGUUCACUCACUGAGUUUGUACUCACGCUUUCAAAAUUCAUGUUUUAGGUUUCCUGAGUCAAAGGUGGUUGGAUCCUAGGACGAGAUGUUCCUCCCUAUCCAUUGCUCGGUAGGUUUACCAUAACAUUAAAUGUUAGCAACCGUGUCUAGAGUCACUCCUUACAACAAGCUUUUACAAGGUGAGCUUCUAACAUAAGAUCUAAUUCCUUACAACAAGCUUUAGAGUGCUUCCCACACUCUAAUUUCCCAAGAAAAAGAAGUACAAUUAAAUACCUUUAUAAGUCUAGAUAGAUCAUUGUAAUGACCCAUUCCUCGAUCGCUACAGACAUUCAAGUCUUGCGAGAGAACCCGCCAAAUCCCGAACAAGCCUUAUUCCAACGAUCUAUGUAAUUGCUUGGAACCGUAUAUGAUUUGAACAAAAGUUGUUAUAAAUAGACUUAACCUUUAUUCCAUAUAAUUGUAAAAAAAUACAUCAAGAUUUAUAAUCUCCAAAUGUACAUUCGUAUUAACAUUAAUGUUUAUUUUCAUAACAAUAUACACUAUGACAACUCGACCUCUAGUAGCAAAACAACUCAGAAUAAAGUGCUAUGAGAUGCCUUUAUCUAUCCACGGUGGACAAUAAGUGCCGAUGAAUGCACGCUAGGCUAAUCACUAUCUGCAAAAGGGGAGAUAAAGGGGUGAGUCUCACAGAUUUAGUGAUCAUCGACUUCGUAAGCAGGUGUAGAUGGGAAAGAAGCUUAGAGCAGAUAAUUUGAAGGAUAAAACCAGAGUAUAAAAUGAUAACCUUAUAAAAAUCAAAUAACAAGGAAUGUAUUUGUGCCUUGUAAAAAUAAUGCCAUAAAAAUCAUAGUGUAAUACUUUCCUUGGCAAAUAAUGCCAAAAUUAAAGCGUAAUGAAAUAAAAUUUCAAUCAUUGAAAUCAUCUAUUUCCUUCAAAAAUACCAUAGCCGUAUAAAAACACGCACACUCCUAAAAUGUGUGGCAUGUAAAAAUAAUCAUGUACAACUAUAUAUAUCAACUCAUGAUCAAUAUGUAAAGCACUGAAAGCUUUCAAUUAAAUAGGAGAGCUAUGAAAAAACAAUAUCUAUCCACCAUGCAAAAGAGUACGAGUCUAAAAACUCUCAAGACUCUCGAGUAGAUAAUUAUAGAUAAUUAACCCAUGGACUCGCUUCAACGUAAUAAUAAUUCGGGAGGCCCCCCUCCACUGGAUUCCCACAGCCAUGGUAGUCUCAACAAUGUUGGCUGACAUUAGAAAAAUCAUGUGGUCACAACCACAUAUAUCAACUUGUGGCUUUGCCAUGUAUAAUCACAGGCCAUAGCCUAGCCAUGUCUAACAGCCCGUUAACGACCCAAAGGUUCUCUAGCUAGAGCUCACUUGUGCACAAGGGUCACACUAUCCAGAUGUGACAUUUGGCCUACUCUCGAUGCUUUCAAUUUGUUAAAAUCGUUUUUCAAACCAAAUCAAGGUUUCCAAGAGUUUUUCCUUCAAUCAUUUGAAAACAAGAUUUAGGAACCUUUCAAAAUUGCUUUGCACAUUAAAAUGCAUGGUGUAAGCUUUUCAUAAAGUUCAGACUAAAACUAGCUCACAAGAAAUCAAAUUUAAGCCAUUUAUCAAGUGCAGUCAACUAUGCAAACUGAACAAAGAUUCAAGGUAGGUUUUGAUGCAAAACAUUGCAAAAGGGCUUGUUUCCUUGUUUCUCAAACACUUUACAUAUAUGUAUAUAUAUAUAGUCUACACAAACAACUUCUAAAUCAAUUUGCAUCCACAAUUGCCUAUGGUUUCUACCAGCUCAUUCUUUCCACAAAAGUAGUGUAUAAAUCAUUGCAAACCAUGCAUUCGAAUCAUAAAUCACUUAUCAAAUCACUUAUCAUUUUCUAGCAACUCAUGGUCUCCAUAAAGACGUUGAAUAAAUCAUUGACAAGUUACUAUACAUAUAACAUUAUAUAGUAUGGAAUCUUUUGAAGUAGACACCCCCUACUCACUUUACAAUGGUGGGAUAUUACUUCGCCACUUAUCUGGUUACGUCUAAAAUUAAAUUAGCUUACCAGUCAGCCAUUUCCACAUGCUUAGCUCCUUUCACUUUUAAAAACUCUUCACAUUUCAAAUAAUUAUCUUUCACUAUACCCAAUCUCACAAAUUAAUUCCAAUUUCAUGCAUAUGCACAAUUAUAAAUGGGCAGCAUCUUAACCAAGAAUCCUUAAUCAAUAUCCACAUUGUUCAUCUUUAUUCCUAUAAAUACUCUAACAUGCAACCACUACUCUUCAAUUAGCUGAACCUAAUGUGCCAUAACAUACCCACAUUGCAUGCUUACCUCUUAAAGUAGCUUGGACUUUGCAUGCAUCUCAACACAUCUCCAUAGCUUUUAUCAUCAAGGCUGCCACACAUAAAUGUAUCCACUAACACUCACAUAUUUCCACCAUUUACGAAUUUAAAGGUGAAGAACAUCUUACCUUUUCUUACAUUUUAUCUUAAAUCUGUCACCUAUCCAAGGAUCAAUGGCAUCCAUGCAUCUAUUUCAUUCAACAGUUGGAGACCUUUGCUGCCACAAACACUUUCCUAUGGUACCAUCCGGUUUUCAAAACAUAUUUUGUGAUGCCUCGUACUUUGAUAUGGUGACUAAUAAAGCUUAUCGAAUGCUAAUUGAGGUUAAUUAUAAUGUUUAAAAGUGAUGAAAGAUGAAAGGAAUAGUUUGAGACAAAAUAUUUUGCACGCGAGGAAAUAAUAAUAUUUGUAUCCGAAAAGAAUUUGGGAGAUAAAAAGUGAUUCAGAAGUAAAUUGAGGCAUAAUAAGGUAUUUUGGGUACUAAGGAGACAAGAGGAGAGAAGAGGAAAAUUUUGAAAUAAAAUAAUAUUUUAUUUAAUAAAAUAAUAUUAAAAUAUUAAUAUUUUAUUCAAUGUCAAAAUUUUCCAUGAAGGAGUAUAUGGUUAAUCUAAGUGGGGGAGAAGAAGAAUAAGAAAAUUUUUGAGAAACUGACGUUAAUGGGGCCUACGUGUCUUUAUUAAAUAAACCUAGUACGGGUAUGUGAAUAUUUAAAUAUUCUAGUGAUACCGCGUUGGAGUAUAAACUUGAUAUUUUAUUGGUACGAAUGUUAAGGAACAAAAUGAAAAGAUAUUGGAAUUAAAAGAUUGUGAGAGGAUACAAUUAAAAAAGGGUAAAAACCAAGGCAAAAUGGUAAUUUUACCAUUUGCUUGGUCAAAGCUUCCCAAGGAAGCUUUGUGUGAGACCUUGUCAAGCUCGAUUAAAAGACGGUAUUGUACCGAGUGGUACAACUAAGUUAAAUCGAGCCUUGAACUAGUUCAAAUAGAAAUUCUAAGAGGAAUUUGAAAAUUUUAAAACCAACAGAAUGGCUUAGAAUAGUGAUUUGGAGUUCAAGGUCCAGUUUGGAGUCCAUUCGAAAAUUGACCAAUUAGGGACAAAACGGUCAUUUUACCAUUUGAUGAUAAAAUUGAGAUUUUUAGCCAAGACUUGAUAACAUUUGACCAAGAAUAAUUAUAUGAAAUAUAAUUAUGAUUAUUGGAGUAUAAAAUGAUGUUUAGCAGUGAAAAAUUGUGAUUCUCGGUAUUUAUGGAGCACAAGGGCAAAAUGGUAAUUUUGCCACUAAAGGACUAAACGAAAAUUUUUUUAAACAAUUUUUGCCCCAUUUGGUUAAUAUUGAUCAAUAUUAGUGUUAUUUUAGGUUGAAAAGUAGAAAUAAUGAGAUUCCGGUACAUUUCGGAGUAUAAGGGCAAAAUCGUAAUUUUUUUGUCUCGGGGGCAAAUCAGUAAAAUUUUCGGCCCAGCACUUGUCAAGACCAAGGGAUUUUAAUUGUGGUAGGAUUGGAUAAAUACCAGAAUAUUUGUGGUGGAAAAUUAAGAAGAAAAAGUCAAAAAGUUAAAAAUUAGGCCAAUAAGCAUGUGACACAUGGCAUGCUUGAUUAUUUUAUUAUUUUCUAUAGAAAUCAGCCCAUUAAAUCCCCAAUUCCCUCACCAUAUUCGGCCUAGGCAUCCAGCAACAAGAAAAAAGGAAGAACAAAAGGAAAAACAAGAAAACCUAGGUGGAAAUUCAAAGAAAAAGUGAAGAAAUCAAGGAAACAAGCUAGGUAAGUUAAAAUUUCUUUAAUUCUCCUUGAUACCUAGCUUACCCAUGCUUUUGUUCUUGAUUUCCAUGGUUGAAUAUUGAGUUAUCAUGAUGAAUUCAAUUCUGAAAAAUGGGUAUGGAAGAGGAAUUGUUGUUGGAAUAAUUUGAUUUUAGACUAUGUUAGUGUUUAGGGAUAGUUAAGCAUGGUUAUGAACAAAAACACAAAAGAAAUAUUCAAUUUCUCUAGGGUUCCUUGUUGGUCGAACCAUGAGGGCUGAAUAUCAAUGGGGGAUUGUUUUUAUUUCAAGGAAAAUGGCAUGAAAAAUGAUGAAGUAAGGUGAAACGGUUAUGUAGAAAAAAAAUUCGAUGCUAGUGCACCAAAUGACCAAAUUUUU
rnacentral:lncRNA from 1 species